UACGUAGGGGGCGAGCGUUGUCCGGAUUCAUUGGGCGUAAAGCGCGCGCAGGCGGCUUGGAGAGCCCGGCGCGAAAGCCCCCAGCUCAACUGGGGGAGGCCGUCGGGGACCUUCAGGCUGGAGGCCGGUAGGGGAGAGUGGAAUUCCCGGUGUAGUGGUGGAAUGCGUAGAGAUCGGGAGGAACACCAGUGGCGAAGGCGACUCUCUGGACCGGUCCUGACGCUCAGGCGCGAAAGCGUGGGGAGCGAUCCGG
rnacentral:rRNA from 1 species